AAAGAUAGGACCGAAAGAUUGAAUCGUAAAAAGAAGAAUAUCGGAAAUGCAACAUGCAAAUUAAAUAUUGAAUAAUUUGAUUUUUAAAAGAAAUGACUAAACAAAAAGAGGAUCCACAACUUCAAAAAAACAAAAGAAUGAUAAAAAAAAUGCAAAAAGGAGUGGAAUGGAACGAAAUCGACAGGUUAUAGACGAAUAGAAGGAACACAGCUAAAUAUUGCUGUGUUUGCACCCACUAUUAAAACAAUUAUCGAAAGCACGAAUAUUGCACGUCUGUUUAAACUUAAGCGAAUGGAGGGUUGCAAAACUUUCUCAUAAUGAAACGGUUUAACUUCUGAGUAUCCCAAUAAGGCAAGAACAGGAUCAUGUUUAGACCACGUACAUAUAAGGUUAUAAAAACCAAAAGCAAAUGGAAGAAGUGUCCAUACCCGCUUUCUCCUUGAGUAGUCUAGGAAAAUACCGCAAAAACCUAGCCAGUAGGCAGCAAAGGUAGACACAUAACCAAUAAUAAAUCUCCCUGUGCAAGUUAAAGGAUUGAGGUUGUGCUUAAAUUUGUGGUUGAGAAAGCGAUAGUAGGCGGGUUUGAGAAGGAAAUUGAGAAGAUAAGUUUCGACGUCUUCAAACAGACGCAACUCGUCUUGUCUUUGAUGUUCCUUGCAAUCUAAAAUAGGUUGAACGAGCUGUGGUGGUAGCAUAACUUCAUGUGGAGAUGCUGGAUUGAAAUAUUUUUCGAUAAUAAUUUGAGUAAACAUUUUAACUUGCUCUUUACUGAUAACCGUUGAUUCCUGCGUUAAACUUUGAAUAUUUGAUGUCAAAAGGUUUUUUAAAUAAGCAGCUCUAUCUUUAGAGAGUAGUAAGUCUGAGGAGUUGAUAGUUUGUUCAUUGGAUAAUUCUUCAAGAAGAAGAGGACCAAAAUUUGGCCAGUACACUGUACUCAAAUCUUCAAGAGAAAGGCUUGCUGACCUAAACCGCGUAAAGUGGUGAGGACCAAGUGUGGAACUGCUUUCUGUAUUCAAAGAAGUGCUAGUAACACCAGCUUUGUAUAGACCUCUUAUAUGCUCUCGAAAGAGAAAUUUGUGAAGCAUAAUAUCAAGAAACAAAUCUAAAAAUUCUAUUGCAUUUUCUUCAUCACGUAUAUAAAUGUAAAAGUUGUAUAAACUCAACGGUGGAAGAUUUUUUUUGGUUAAAACUUCUGAAACUCUCGGGGCGGAAGCCAUUCAGACAACCACCUCAAGACAAGUACUAGAGUUCCUAAAUUAAUCCGAUUUUAAUGUGUAUCAAAA